AGGCAAUGAGGAAAAACAUGCAGGAAUAAAAAAUGUCUGUAUAUAUAUACGCUAUACUGAGCCUUGU